rnacentral:ncRNA from 2 species
UCGCGCGAUGGGGAUGGAGUCCCCCGAUAACCGCCAUAAGGCUGAUGGCUCCUACCGAGCG